rnacentral:lncRNA from 10 species
GGCGCGCGCCGGAAGCACGUGCGCGGGCUGGGCGCUCUGGCGGUGUGCGCUGAGGCUCCUGAGUAUAACAGAUUGGUUCUGAUUAAAACCAUUUCAGAGGAAAGACAGUGAUCCCAGGAAGCGGGAAGAAAACAGCAUCACCUGAAGUUAUUCCUAUUCGUUAGAUUUGUUUUCUUCCUGCGAAAAACUGCUAUGUACAAGAAAGAAGUCAGUGAGCUGCAGUGAUAGUUAGCAUUAUUGACUGAAACUGGACCAGAGAUCCCUGAAACCUGGACAAGGUGGUAGAAAUACAAAUUAUGCUGCCAUUUCAAAGCUGCAUCUGUCCCAGUGUCAGGCACAUUUUAGGUGCCCAACAAACAUCUGUGGAAUGAAUGAAUGAGUGCUGGCACCACCUAUAAGCACACAGUAAGGAUAACCAUGGAGAGAAUAUGCCGAGCCUUUUAAUCAGCCCAGAAGAGCGCCUUCUGUGUUAAGGCGAAAUGCCAGAAUCCCAAGGAACAGAUUCACCACCCAGGGGCGGGACUCAGGGACUGCUGAUACUGAGGCUGCCCUGUGGGUUUUCCUUCCAGAUCCCUUCUUGAUUUGCCCAAAAGAAUUUCACGUUUUGUUUCAGUUAAGGAGAGGCCUUUCCUUACUGCUGACUUUAAGGAAACUGGAAAUUGUGCUUGUGGGGGAAGUGGCUUUGGAACUUGGGGCCUCUUUGGGACCUGGUAGGCAAUGGGGUUUGGGGGCAAGUUUGUGGGACAUGUGUCUGAACAGGAAGGAAGGGAGGAGCAGUGGGGCCAGCCAGGAAGCAGUGCCGAAUGCAGAUUUCUCUUCUUGUGCAGCUUUGCUUAGAGUUGAACAUUACUUCCCAGAGAUAGAUUGACCCCAAUCCUGCAGAGAUUGGCUAUCCUGCUCUUCAACUUAUUUUUAGAUAUAUGGUCUCACUUGAAUCUCACAUCCAAUGAGGAGUUCCUGACCCCUCAAUUUAGCUCCACCUGGCAUUCCAGAGCAAUUCAAGGACCUGGUAGGGCUACUAGCAAUCCACUGCUACAUAUAGGGGAACAAUGAGUUUUAAAGCUGCUCAGAAAUCUGUGAUUCGAGUAUCAGGAAAUCCUUGACUCUUUAUCAAAUGUGAAGUUGCUGAUUUAAGAAAUAAAGUUAAGAAACAAU